CGAGAAUCUUCCGCAAUGGGCGCAAGCCUGACGGAGCGACGCCGCGUGGAGGACGAAGGCCUUCGGGUUGUAAACUCCUGUCACGGGUUAUGAAUGGCGCAGUGUGAACAAUGCUGCGAUUGACGUAAGCCCGAGAGGAAGCACUGGCUAACUCUGUGCCAGCAGCCGCGGUAAUACAGAGAGUGCAAACGUUGUUCGGAAUCACUGGGCAUAAAGCGCACGUAGGCGGCGCCACAAGUGCGGGGUGAAAUCCCACGGCUCAACCGUGGAACUGCCUUUGAUACUGCUUAGCUUGAAUCCGGGAGAGGGUGGCGGAAUUCCAGUGGUAGGAGUGAAAUCCGUAGAUAUCUGGAGGAACAUCAGUGGCGAAGGCGGCCACCUGGACCGGUAUUGACGCUGAGGUGCGAAAGCGUGGGGAGCAAACA
rnacentral:rRNA from 1 species